rnacentral:rRNA from 1 species
AUUGAACGCUGGCGGCAUGCCUUACACAUGCAAGUCGAACGGUAACAGGUCUUCGGACGCUGACGAGUGGCGAACGGGUGAGUAAUACAUCGGAACGUGCCCAGUCGUGGGGGAUAACUACUCGAAAGAGUAGCUAAUACCGCAUACGAUCUGAGGAUGAAAGCGGGGGACCUUCGGGCCUCGCGCGAUUGGAGCGGCCGAUGGCAGAUUAGGUAGUUGGUGGGAUAAAAGCUUACCAAGCCGACGAUCUGUAGCUGGUCUGAGAGGACGACCAGCCACACUGGGACUGGGACACGGCCCAGACUCCUACGGGAGGCAGCAGUGGGGAAUUUUGGACAAUGGGCGAAAGCCUGAUUCAGCAAUGCCGCGUGCAGGAUGAAGGCCUUCGGGUUGUAAACUGCUUUUGUACGGAACGAAAAAGCUCCUUCUAAUACAGGGGGCCCAUGACGGUACCGUAAGAAUAAGCACCGGCUAACUACGUGCCAGCCGCCGCAGUAA